rnacentral:rRNA from 1 species
AUUGAACGCUGGCGGCAGGCUUAACACAUGCAAGUCGAGCGGAGCGAGGGUGCUUGCACCUUAGCUUAGCGGCGGACGGGUGAGUAAUGCUUAGGAAUCUGCCUAUUAGUGGGGGACAACGUUCCGAAAGGGAUGCUAAUACCGCAUACGCCCUACGGGGGAAAGCAGGGGAUCUUCGGACCUUGCGCUAAUAGAUGAGCCUAAGUCGGCUUAGCUAGUUGGUGGGGUAAAGGCCUACCAAGGCGACGAUCUGUAGCGGGUCUGAGAGGAUGAUCCGCCACACUGGGACUGAGACACGGCCCAGACUCCUACGGGAGGCAGCAGUGGGGAAUUUUGGACAAUGGGCGAAAGCCUGAUCCAGCCAUGCCGCGUGUCUGAAGAAGGCCUUCGGGUUGUAAAGGACUUUUGUCAGGGAGGAAAUCCCUAGUGCUAAUAACACUGGGGGAUGACAGUACCUGAAGGAUAAGCACCGGCUAACUACGUGCCAGCCGCCGCCGUAACAC